rnacentral:rRNA from 1 species
GAUGAACGCUAGCUACAGGCUUAACACAUGCAAGUCGAGGGACCGGCGCACGGGUGAGUAACACGUAUCCAACCUGCCCUUUACUCGGGGAUAGCCUUUCGCAAGAAAGAUUAAUACCCGAUAUAAAGGAUGGGGAUGCGUUCCAUUAGGUUGUUGGUGAGGGAACGGCCCACCAAGCCUUCGAUGGAUAGGGGUGCUGAGGGGAAGGUCCCCCACAAUUGAGCUGAGGCACGGUCUAAACUCGUACGGGAGGCAGCAGUGAGGAAUAUUGUGCGAUGAGCGUUAGCCUGAACCAGCCAAGUAGCGUGAAGGAUGAAGGCUUUGGGGUGGAAAACUUCUUUUAUAUAAGAAUAUGUAUUAUAUGAAUAAGGAUCGGCUAACUCCGUGCCAGCAGCCGCGGUAAUAC